UACGUAGGGUGCGAGCGUUAAUCGGAAUUACUGGGCGUAAAGCGUGCGCAGGCGGUUUGUUAAGUCUGAUGUGAAAGCCCCGGGCUCAACCUGGGAACUGCAUUGGAAACUGGCAAGCUCGAGUAUGGCAGAGGGGGGUGGAAUUCCGCGUGUAGCAGUGAAAUGCGUAGAGAUGCGGAGGAACACCAGUGGCGAAGGCGGCUCACUGGCCCGAUACUGACGCUGAGGCACGAAAGCGUGGGGAGCAAACAGG
rnacentral:rRNA from 1 species